rnacentral:rRNA from 1 species
GAUCAUGGCUCAGGACGAACGCUGGCGGCGUGCCUAAUACAUGCAAGUAGAACGCUGAAGAGAGGAGCUUGCUCUUCUUGGAUGAGUUGCGAACGGGUGAGUAACGCGUAGGUAACCUGCCUUGUAGCGGGGGAUAACUAUUGGAAACGAUAGCUAAUACCGCAUAACAGUAGAUAUCGCAUGAUAGCUGCUUGAAAGAUGCAAAUGCAUCACUACCAGA